ACCAAGGGUUCCUGUCCAACGUUAAUCGGGGCAGGGUGAGUCGACCCCUAAGGCGAGGCCGAAAGGCGUAGUCGAUGGGAAACGGGUUAAUAUUCCCGUACUUGGUGUUACUGCGAAGGGGGGACGGAGAAGGCUAUGUUGGCCGGGCGACGGUUGUCCCGGUUUAAGCGUGUAGGCUGGUUUUCCAGGCAAAUCCGGAAAAUCAAGGCUGAGGCGUGACGACGAGGCACUACGGUGCUGAAGCAACAAAUGCCCUGCUUCCAGGAAAAGCCUCUAAGCAUCAGGUAACACGAAAUCGUACCCCAAACCGACACAGGUGGUCAGGUAGAGAAUACCAAGGCGCUUGAGAGAACUCGGGUGAAGGAACUAGGCAAAAUGGUGCCGUAACUUCGGGAGAAGGCACGCUGACAUGUAGGUGAAGUGAUUUACUCAUGGAGCUGAAGUCAGUCGAAGAUACCAGCUGGCUGCAACUGUUUAUUAAAAACACAGCACUGUGCAAACACGAAAGUGGACGUAUACGGUGUGACGCCUGCCCGGUGCCGGAAGGUUAAUUGAUGGGGUCAGCGCAAGCGAAGCUCCUGAUCGAAGCCCCGGUAAACGGCGGCCGUAACUAUAACGGUCCUAAGGUAGCGAAAUUCCUUGUCGGGUAAGUUCCGACCUGCACGAAUGGCGUAAUGAUGGCCAGGCUGUCUCCACCCGAGACUCAGUGAAAUUGAACUCGCUGUGAAGAUGCAGUGUACCCGCGGCAAGACGGAAAGACCCCGUGAACCUUUACUAUAGCUUGACACUGAACAUUGAGCCUUGAUGUGUAGGAUAGGUGGGAGGCUUUGAAGUGUGGACGCCAGUCUGCAUGGAGCCGACCUUGAAAUACCACCCUUUAAUGUUUGAUGUUCUAACGUGGACCCGUGAUCCGGGUUGCGGACAGUGUCUGGUGGGUAGUUUGACUGGGGCGGUCUCCUCCUAAAGAGUAACGGAGGAGCACGAAGGUUGGCUAAUCCUGGUCGGACAUCAGGAGGUUAGUGCAAUGGCAUAAGCCAGCUUGACUGCGAGCGUGACGGCGCGAGCAGGUGCGAAAGCAGGUCAUAGUGAUCCGGUGGUUCUGAAUGGAAGGGCCAUCGCUCAACGGAUAAAAGGUACUCCGGGGAUAACAGGCUGAUACCGCCCAAGAGUUCAUAUCGACGGCGGUGUUUGGCACCUCGAUGUCGGCUCAUCACAUCCUGGGGCUGAAGUAGGUCCCAAGGGUAUGGCUGUUCGCCAUUUAAAGUGGUACGCGAGCUGGGUUUAGAACGUCGUGAGACAGUUCGGUCCCUAUCUGCCGUGGGCGCUGGAGAACUGAGGGGGGCUGCUCCUAGUACGAGAGGACCGGAGUGGACGCAUCACUGGUGUUCGGGUUGUCAUGCCAAUGGCACUGCCCGGUAGCUAAAUGCGGAAGAGAUAAGUGCUGAAAGCAUCUAAGCACGAAACUUGCCCCGA
rnacentral:rRNA from 1 species